AUUGAACGCUGGCGGCAGGCCUAACACAUGCAAGUCGAACGAGUGGCGGACGGGUGCGUAAUGUCUGGGAAACUGCCUGAUGGAGGGGGAUAACUACUGGAAACGGUAGCUAAUACCACAUACCAUCAGAUGUGCCCAGAUGGGAUUAGCUAGUUGGUGGGGUAACGGCUCACCAAGGCGACGAUCCCUAGCUGGUCUGAGAGGAUGACCAGCCACACUGGAACCGUGACACGGUCCAGCAUCCUACGUGAGGCAGCAGUGGGGAAUAUUGCACAAUGGGCGUAAGCCUGAUGCAGCUAUGCCGAGUGUAUGAAGAAGUCAUUCGGGUUGUAAAGUACUUUCAGCGGGGAGGCGGUACCCGCAGAAGAAGCACCGGCUAACUCCGUGCCAGCAGCGGCGGUAAUAC
rnacentral:rRNA from 1 species